rnacentral:rRNA from 1 species
AUUGAACGCUGGCGGCAGGCCUAACACAUGCAAGUCGAACGAGUGGCGGACGGGUGAGCAAUGUCUGGGAAUCUGCCUGUUGGAGGGGGUUAAUUACUGGAAACGGUAGCUAAUACCGCAUACCAUCAGAUGUGCCCAGAUGGGAUUAGCUUGUUGGUGGGGUAACGGCUCACCAAGGCGACGAUCCCUAACUGGUCUGAGAGGAUGACAAGCAACACUGGAACUGAGACACGGUCCAGACUCCGACGGGAGGAAGAAGUGGGGAAUAUUGGACAAUGGGCGCAAGGCUGAUGCAGCCAUGCCGCGUGUAUGAAGAAGGCCUGCGGAUUGUAAAGUACUUUAAGCGGGGAGGCGUUACCCGCAGAAGAAGCACCGGCUAACUCCGUGCCAGCAGCCGCGGUAAUAC